rnacentral:rRNA from 1 species
UCCUACGGGUGGCAGCAGUGGGGAAUAUUGGACAAUGGGGGAAACCCUGAUCCAGCGACGCCGCGUGGGUGAAGAAGGCCUGCGGGUUGUAAAGCCCUUUCGUUGGGAAAGAAGGAUAUUGACCGAAUACGUCGAUAGCUUGACGUUACCCAAAGAAGAAGCACCGGCUAACUCUGUGCCAGCAGCCGCGGUAAUACAGAGGGUGCGAGCGUUAAUCGGAAUUACUGGGCGUAAAGCGCACGUAGAUGGCUUUGUAAGUCGGAUGUGAAAUCCCCGGGCUUAACCUGGGAACUGCAUUCGAAACUGCAUCGCUAGAAUGUGGAAGAGGGAAGUGGAAUUCCAGGUGUAGCAGUGAAAUGCGUAGAUAUCUGGAGGAACAUCAGUGGCGAAAGCGACUUCCUGGUCCAACAUUGACAUUCAGGUGCGAAAGCGUGGGGAGCAAACAGGAUUAGAUACCCUUGUAGUC